GAUGAACGCUAGCUACAGGCUUAACACAUGCAAGUCGAGGGGCAGCAUUUUAGUUUGCUUGCAAACUAAAGAUGGCGACCGGCGCACGGGUGAGUAACACGUAUCCAACCUGCCGAUAACUCGGGGAUAGCCUUUCGAAAGAAAGAUUAAUAUCCGAUAGUAUAUUAAAAACCGCAUGGUUUUACUAUUAAAGAAUUUCGGUUAUCGAUGGGGAUGCGUUCCAUUAGUUUGUUGCGGGUAACGGCCCACCUAGUCUUCGAUGGAUAGGGGUUCUGAGAGGAAGGUCCCCCACAUUGGAACUGAGACACGGUCCAAACUCCUACGGGAGGCAGCAGUGAGGAAUAUUGGUCAAUGGGCGAGAGCCUGAACCAGCCAAGUAGCGUGAAGGAUGACUGCCCUAUGGGUUGUAAACUUCUUUUAUAAAGGAAUAAAGUCGGUAUGGAUACCCGUUUGCAUGUACUUUAUGAAUAAGGAUCGGCUAACUCCGUGCCAGCAGCCGC
rnacentral:rRNA from 1 species